rnacentral:rRNA from 1 species
UUUACAAUGAAGAGUUUGAUCCUGGCUCAGGAUGAACGCUAGCGGCAGGCUUAAUACAUGCAAGUCGAACGGUAACAUGGUAGCAAUACUGAUGACGAGUGGCGCACGGGUGAGUAACGCGUAUGCAACCUACCUAUAAUUUGAGGAUAGCCCAGAGAAAUUUGGAUUAAUACUUAAUGUUAAUAUUUUGUGGCAUCACGAGAUAUUUAAAGGAUUUAUUUGAUUAUAGAUGGGCAUGCGUGACAUUAGAUAGUUGGUGAGGUAACGGCUCACCAAGUCAGCGAUGUCUAGGGGUUCUGAGAGGAAUAUCCCCCACACUGGUACUGAGAUACGGACCAGACUCCUACGGGAGGCAGCAGUAAGGAAUAUUGGUCAAUGGGCGCAAGCCUGAACCAGCCAUGCCGCGUGCAGGAUGACGGCCCUACGGGUUGUAAACUGCUUUUAUGCUAGGGAAAUAAGUGCUAUGUAUAGCAUGAUGAUAGUAUAGUAUGAAUAAGGAUCGGCUAACUCCGUGCCAGCAGCCGCGGUAAUACGGAGGAUCCAAGCGUUAUCCGGAUUUACUGGGUUUAAAGGGUGCGUAGGCGGCAAUAUAAGUCAGUGGUGAAAUCCCGUAGCUUAACUACGGAACUGCCAUUGAUACUGUAUAGCUUGAGUUCAAAUGAAGUGGGCGGAAUGUGUCAUGUAGCGGUGAAAUGCUUAGAUAUGCCACAGAACACCGAUAGCGAAGGCAGCUCACUAAUCUGCGACUGACGCUGAAGCACGAAAGCGUGGGGAUCAAACAGGAUUAGAUACCCUGGUAGUCCACGCCGUAAACGAUGAUAACUCGAUGUUUGCAUUCAUGUAAGCGUCUAAGUGAAAACAAUAAGUUAUCCACCUGGGGAGUACGAUCGCAAGAUUGAAACUCAAAGGAAUUGACGGGGGCCCGCACAAGCGGAGGAGCAUGUGGUUUAAUUCGAUGAUACGCGAGGAACCUUACCUAGGCUUGAAAGACGUAUGCUGUAGAUAGAGAUAUUUAUUUCCAGUAAUGGACAUACGUCUAGGUGCUGCAUGGCUGUCGUCAGCUCGUGCCGUGAGGUGUUUGGUUAAGUCCAGUAACGAGCGCAACCCCUAUUAUUAGUUACCAGCGAGUUAAGUCGGGGACUCUAAUAAAACUGCCAGCGUAAGCUGAGAGGAAGGUGGGGAUGACGUCAAGUCAGCACGGCCCUUACGUCUAGGGCUACACACGUGCUACAAUGGUUGGUACAGAGGGCAGCUACAUAGUGAUAUGAUGCGAAUCUCUAAAGCCAAUCUCAGUUCGGAUUGAAGUCUGCAACUCGACUUCAUGAAGUCGGAUUCGCUAGUAAUCGCGUAUCAGCAAUGACGCGGUGAAUACGUUCCCGGGCCUUGUACACACCGCCCGUCAAGCCAUGGAAGUUGGGAGUGCCUGAAGUCGAUGACCGUCAAGGAGUCGCCUAGGGUAAGACCGAUAACUAGGGCUAAGUCGUAACAAGGUAGCCGUACCGGAAGGUGCGGCUGGAACACCUCCUUUCUAGAGUUUAUU